rnacentral:rRNA from 1 species
UACGGAGGGUGCAAGCGUUAUCCGGAUUCACUGGGUUUAAAGGGUGCGUAGGCGUGCAGGUAAGUCAGUGGUGAAAUCCUUGAGCUUAACUCGAGAACUGCCAUUGAUACUAUCUGUCUUGAAUAUUGUGGAGGUAAGCGGAAUAUGUCAUGUAGCGGUGAAAUGCUUAGAUAUGACAUAGAACACCUAUUGCGAAGGCAGCUUACUACGCAUAUAUUGACGCUGAGGCACGAAAGCGUGGGGAUCAAACAGG